rnacentral:rRNA from 1 species
CAGUAGCCGCGGGAAUACGGAGGGUGCAAGCGUUAAUCGGAAUUACUGGGCGUAAAGCGCACGCAGGCGGUUUGUUAAGUCAGAUGUGAAAUCCCCGAGCUUAACUUGGGAACUGCGCUUGUGACUGCACAGCUAGAGUAUGGCAGAGGGGGGUGGAAUUCCACGUGUAGCAGUGAAAUGCGUAGAGAUGUGGAGGAACACCAGUGGCGAAGGCGACUCUCUGGUCUGUAACUGACGCUGAGGAGCGAAAGCGUGGGGAGCGAACAGGAUUAGAUACCCCUGUAGUCCCUGUCUCUUAUAC